AACGAACGCUGGCGGCAGGCUUAACACAUGCAAGUCGAGCGCCUUGGCAACAAGGAGCGGCAGACGGGUGAGUAACCCGUGGGAAUCUACCCAUCUCUACGGAAUAACUCAGGGAAACUUGUGCUAAUACCGUAUACGCCCUUUUAGGGGAAAGAUUUAUCGGAGAUGGAUGAGCCCGCGUUGGAUUAGCUAGUUGGUGGGGUAAAGGCCUACCAAGGCGACGAUCCAUAGCUGGUCUGAGAGGAUGAUCAGCCACAUUGGGACUGAGACACGGCCCAAACUCCUACGGGAGGCAGCAGUGGGGAAUAUUGGACAAUGGGCGCAAGCCUGAUCCAGCCAUGCCGCGUGAGUGAUGAAGGCCCUAGGGUUGUAAAGCUCUUUCACCGGAGAAGAUAAUGACGGUAUCCGGAGAAGAAGCCCCGGCUAACUUCGUGCCAGCCGCCGCAGUAA
rnacentral:rRNA from 1 species